rfam:Mycobacterium malmoense strain E3012 contig_216, whole genome shotgun sequence.
AGUUCGACCGGGUCGACCGCGCGGGUCACCACCAGGUAGUCGCGCAGCGCGAUCCCGUGCCGGUUCUC